CAAUAGCGUAUAUUAAAGUUGUUGCAGUUAAAAAGCUCGUAGUUGGAUUUCUGGUCUGAAGGUCCGGUCCGCUUGCUUUGCGAGUGUGUACUUGUGAUGUUUGGUCCAUUUUUUGCGAGAGUGUUGGCCUGCCAUUAAGUUGGUGGGUUUUCAAUCUUGCAUCGUUUACUGUGAAAAAAUUAGAGUGUUUAAAGCAGGCGUUUGCCUUGAAUACAUUAGCAUGGAAUAAUAAGAUAUGACUUUGGUGGUCUAUUUUGUUGGUUUGCACACCAGAGUAAUGAUUAAUAGGGACAGUUGGGGGUAUUUAUAUUUCAUUGUCAGAGGUGAAAUUCUUGGAUCAAUGAAAGAUAAACUACUGCGAAAGCAUUUACCAAGGAUGUUUUCAUUAA
rnacentral:rRNA from 1 species